GGGGAUGAUCAGGAUUCGACGCUGAUUACAAAGCUAUGGGUGCAUGCCGAGAGUGUAUAGCGAUCUCGUAAAUCAACGUUAUACAAAGUUAUAGUCGCAAACGACGAAACUUACGCACUAGCGGCUUAAGCCCGCUUACCUCUGAACUCGGGUGCCUGUGGCCGGGGGACGAGGGCUCAGUCUUACAGGCUCGCCUGGAUGCUUCGCUCGGAGCUGAAUGGUCAAAACUUAAUCGAGCUCGUUCCGAACACCCUGCCCCUCGGGUCGUGACGAACUAAAACAAUAGAGAAGGCUAAGCAUGUAGAUCCUCUAGUGGAGGAUUGGCGGACGCGGGUUCAAAUCCCGCCAUCUCCACCA
rnacentral:tmRNA from 2 species